GAGUUUGAUCAUGGCUCAGAUUGAACGCUGGCGGCAUGCCUUACACAUGCAAGUCGAACGGCAGCACGGGAGCUUGCUCCUGGUGGCGAGUGGCGAACGGGUGAGUAAUGCAUCGGAACGUAUCCUGGAGUGGGGGAUAACGUAGCGAAAGUUACGCUAAUACCGCAUAUUCCGUGAGCAGGAAAGCGGGGGACCUUCGGGCCUCGCGCUCUUGGAGCGGCCGAUGUCGGAUUAGCUAGUUGGUGAGGUAAAGGCUCACCAAGGCGACGAUCCGUAGCAGGUCUGAGAGGAUGAUCUGCCACACUGGAACUGAGACACGGUCCAGACUCCUACGGGAGGCAGCAGUGGGGAAUUUUGGACAAUGGGGGCAACCCUGAUCCAGCCAUGCCGCGUGAGUGAAGAAGGCCUCGGUGUAAG
rnacentral:rRNA from 1 species